CCCGCUGAACUUCAGCAUAUCAAUAAGCGGAGGAAAAGAAAUUAACACGGAUUCCCUUAGUAACUGCGAGUGAAGCGGGAAAAGCUCAAAUUUAAAAUCUGGUGGUCUUUGGCUAUUCGAGUUGUAAUUUAGAGAAGCGUGUAACGCGCAGGAGCAUGCAUAAGUCUCCUAGAAUGGAGCGUCAUAGAGGGUGAGAAUCCCGGCCUUAGCAUGCACCCCCAGGGGUUCUGUGAUGCGCUCUCAAAGAGUCGAGUUGUUUGGGAAUGCAGCUCAAAAUGGGUGGUGAACUCCAUCUAAAGCUAAAUAUUGGCGAGAGACCGAUAGCAAACAAGUACCGUGAGGGAAAGAUGAAAAGCACUUUGGAAAGAGAGUGAAACAGUACGUGAAAUUGUUGAAAGGGAAACGCUUGAAGUCAGUCGCGUCGACCGAGACUCAGCCUCGCCUUGGCUUGGUGUACUUCUCGGCUGACGGGUCAGCAUCUAUUUCGAUCCUUGGAUAAUGGCAAGGGAAAGGUAGCACCUUUACAGGUGUGUUAUAGUCCUUUGUCGGAUGCAAGGGUUGGGAUUGAGGAACUCAGCACGCACCUCAUCGGUGUCGGGGCCUUUUGGCCUACGUUACGUGCUUAGGAUGCUGGCAUAAUGACUUUUAACGACCCGUCUUGAAACACGG
rnacentral:rRNA from 1 species